rnacentral:misc_RNA from 1 species
CUGAUCUUGAGUUUGCAUAGGCUUC